UGAAGUGUGUUUCGAUAAUAC
rnacentral:piRNA from 1 species